CAGUAGCCGCGGUAAUACGUAGGUGGCAAGCGUUGUCCGGAAUUAUUGGGCGUAAAGGGCUCGCAGGCGGUUUCUUAAGUCUGAUGUGAAAGCCUCCGGCUCAACCGGGGAGGGUCAUUGGAAACUGGGAAGCUUGAGAGCAGAAGAGGAGAGUGGAAUUCCACGUGUAGCGGUGAAAUGCGUAGAGAUGUGGAGGAACACCAGUGGCGAAGGCGACUCUCUGGUCUGUAACUGACGCUGAGGAGCGAAAGCGUGGGGAGCGAACAGGAUUAGAUACCCCAGUAGUCCCUGUCUCUUAUAC
rnacentral:rRNA from 1 species